rnacentral:rRNA from 1 species
CGCUGGCGGCGUGCCUAACACAUGCAAGUCAACUUGACUGAAGGAGCAAUCUGACAGUAGAGUGGCGCAAGGGUGCGUAACGCGUAAGUAACUUGCCCAAGGUAAGGAAUAACGUCGAGAAAUCGGCGCUAAUACCUCAUAAUGCAGCGGAUCCGCAUGGAUAUGUAGUUAAAGGUUUACCGCCUUGGGAUAGGCUUGCGUCUGAUUAGCUAGUUGGUGUGGUAACGGCACACCAAGGCUACGAUCAGUAACUGGUCUGAGAGGAUGAUCAGUCACACUGGAACUGAGACACGGUCCAGACUCCUACGGGAGGCAGCAGUGAGGAAUAUUGGGCAAUGCUCGAAAGAGUGACCCAGCAACGCCGCGUGGAGGAUGAAGGUAUUCUAUAUCGUAAACUCCUGUGAGAGCAGACGAAAGACAGAUUAUUAAUCUGGAUGACUGUAUGCUCAGAGGAAGCCCCGGCUAACUACGUG